AGAGUUUGAUCAUGGCUCAGAUUGAACGCUGGCGGCAGGCUUAACACAUGCAAGUCGAACGGUAACAGAAAGUAGCUUGCUACUUUGCUGACGAGUGGCGGACGGGUGAGUAAUGCUUGGGAAUAUGCCUUAUGGUGGGGGACAACAGUUGGAAACGACUGCUAAUACCGCAUAACAUCUCCUGAUCAAAGUGGGGGACCUUCGGGCCUCACGCCAUAAGAGUAGCCCAAGUGGGAUUAGCUAGUUGGUAAGGUAAUGGCUUACCAAGGCGACGAUCCCUAGUUGGUCUUAGAGGAUGACCAGCCACACUGGAACUGAGACACGGUCCAGACUCCUACGGGAGGCAGCAGUGGGGAAUAUUGCACAAUGGGCGCAAGCCUGAUGCAGCCAUGCCGCGUGUGUGAAGAAGGCUUUCGGGUUGUAAAGCACUUUCAGCGAGGAGGAAAGGGUAUUGCUUAAUAGGUAAUAUCUGUGACGUUACUCGCAGAAGAAGCACCGGCUAACUCCGUGCCAGCAGCCGCGGUAAUACGGAGGGUGCGAGCGUUAAUCGGAAUUACUGGGCGUAAAGCGCGCGUAGGUGGUUAAUUAAGUCAGAUGUGAAAUCCCAGGGCUCAACCUUGGAACUGCAUUUGAAACUGGUUAACUAGAGUUUUGUAGAGGGUGGUAGAAUUUCAGGUGUAGCGGUGAAAUGCGUAGAGAUCUGAAGGAAUACCAGUGGCGAAGGCGGCCACCUGGACAAAGACUGACACUGAGGCGCGAAGGCGUGGGGAGCAAACGGGAUUAGAUACCCCGGUAGUCCAA
rnacentral:rRNA from 1 species